UUCUUUGAAUGUAAAUUUUGUUAGAAAAUUUGCCAUCUCAAAUGUUGUAAAUGUAGUUCAUAUGAGCAUGAAUAUUGGAGCUAAAAUUUGGUGCCAUGAUUUUGGGAAUUUUCGGCCAAAUCCAAAGGGUGGAUUUUUGGGUUCUUGUUUGACUUGUUAAAAGUGUUUUCAAUUGACUUUUGGAACCCCUAUGUACCCUAGUUUGGUUAUAUGUUAUUUCCCUUAAGUUUGAAUGGUUUUGGGAUGUUUUUGGAUGAAAAAUGUUCAUGGAAAUUUUUUGGGUUUUUCAUGAAUGUUCUUCAUUGUUCUUGACAUUUUUGCCAAGAACAAAAAGUUUUGUGUUUUGAUUCAAAGUUUUGAUUUAUUUCAUAAAGUUUAUGUUUUAUGUUUUUCAAAUGAUUUAAUGUGUUAGAUAUUUGUUUAAAUGGUGAUAGAAAUAAUGGUGGGUGUGAAAGGAUUAAUUCCCUUUCACACACACCACUUGUGCACUUGCAUGCUUUAUGUCAAAACUCACAAAUCAACACACACAUCACUCACAUCUCCUCUCCAAAACCGGCCACCCUACAUGUAGGGUACUUUUGGGGCUUUUAUGCAAUUACAUAAAGUUUUGAUACUUUUGUGUAUUUGCACUUUGGCCCAAAAGUUUACGUUUUUACGUUUAGGUCCAAAAACGCUAAAGGACAAAUUGUUUUGCUCCUUUAAUGAAGUUUUUGCAUUAUUUAAAUUUUGGGUUCUAGUGUAAUUACAUGAAGUAGUGGACUUUUGUGUUCUUACAAAGUGACCCCAAAAGUUUAUGUUUUGCAAUAUUGCCCAAAAGGUUGUGGUUAAUUGCAUUUUGGCCCAAAUUAGGUUGAGAACAAAAUUGUUUUGUCUCUUUAAAUGAGAAUUGGAUUUUCAUUUUCAUUUAGCUCCAUUUAAAUCAAUUUUAUGGAUACAAAAACCAAAUGAAAAUGUUGCAUUCAAUUUAAUUAGUUAAAGUGUUAAUUAAUUAAAGGGUGAUUAUGAACCUAAGCCUACGAAUAUAAUUGAGCUAUGUGAAAGGCCGUUUCAAAUUUGUUUGAACCAUGGGAAUGUGUAGAUUAGAUUUUGGUUGUAAUUUGAUUUGAUCAAAUGUUGUAAAAGGGCAUAAGCCCUUCUUUACUUUAAGGUAAUUUGUUUUAUGCAAAUGUUGUAAUGAGCAUAAGCUCACCUUUACUUUGAAGUACUUCUUUCUUGCUUUAUUUGAUAUGCAUGAAAAUGAAGUAGUUGGGUCCAACGCCCCUAAGACAACACGCCUUAAUGUGAUUAAACGCGUAACUAAAAUCAAUCACCAUCCCUAGACCGAGAUUCAACACAAGGCUCGUGUUGAAUCUAAACAAAGGUUCAUAGUCAUCCUAAGGCCCUAAGGCAACUAUAUAGUCCAUCAAAUGAAUGCAAAGGUUAUGUUAGUAGUAUCAUAUACUCUUGCUUUAAAAACCGUUUUAUAAGCAUAGUGGGAGUAUUAUAUACAACUAAAAACAAUCAUAUGGACCAAUAGUUGUAAUAGGACCAAAAUUGUUUUAAUAGAGAUUAAAAUGUAUGUUUAUAUGUGAUGAGACCUAAAACCCUCAACCAAACCAUUAUUAAGUUGAUAAGCGUGAGAGUGCUUUGAACACUCUUUCGUGGCCUUCCACCGUGGUAGGCUUCCAAUCGUUUGUGACUCAUACACCGUACUUCACCCUAGUUCAUGGGGUUGCAAAGUAUGCAUGCUUACAUUCAGGAGGAAGCCUAUACACAUAUGAUGAAGUGAAGGUAGGCAACGAGUGAUGGUCAAUAUGAUAUUCAUUCUGAGGCUAUUCUUGAACCCCUACUUGAACUAGCAUGGUGGGAAUGACUUAACUAAGUGCAAUGUGCCAAUAUGAUAUUCAUUCUGAGGCAUCAUUCUCUAGAGGCCAAAUAAGAUGGGUACUUGCAAGAGAUGCAAAUGAGUAAGCGUACUCUCUCAUUAUUAUUAAUGCUAGCCAAUAUGAUUUUCAUUCUGAGGUGGGCUUGGUAGUAGUGAGUCUCCCAUACCCUACUAAGAGUUUCAUCCAAAACUCUCGAAUUCCAAUGAGGGAUAUGGAAUUUGCCAAAAAUAGUGGGUGGUGCUAUUUGAUUUAAAGACCCGGAAUCAAAUGGCUUAAAAUCAAUCAAUUUAUAUUCGUUAUGUAUUUGUUUACCAAUAUAUUUGUAAAUGCUAUCCAACACUUGACAAAUAAAAGCCGAAAGCUUUAGUUUCCGGACUUGGUACUACAAAACCAUAGAUUGUCUUAAAUGGCUUGUAAAUGUACCUAAGUAGUCUCAUCCUCACAAUCUUCCUAUUGAUAAUGUAUCAUUGGAAGAACAUGUUAGAUAAGGUCUAUCAUAAGAGGACAACACUUUUAAUGUCAUAAUUCUUCAAUUACAAAUUUGUUGUAUGAAGAAAUAGGAGUUGCUUUGAACAACCUCUUAGUCAAUGCAAACACUUAGUGCUUGUUUCUUUGUUACAUGAACAAAAGAACUUGAGAAGAAAGCACAAAGGCAUGGACACUUUAAUGUGCCAUGAUUCUUCACUUACAAAUUUGUUGUAUGAAGAAAUGAGAGUUGCCUUGUACAACUCUUGAAAGUUUGUAAUUAUGUUUAGAACAUAAUGGUUGGUUGACAAAAAUAGUCCAUCAACAUGGACUUAUGAUGAUUUUGAAUCAUUGAGUGUUGAAGUGUUAAACCACUUAACGAGACGGAAACUAGGCUAGGACUUCACCUUUAUGUCCCUAUCCUAAUGGUUCACUAAGUUUAUUGUAAACUAUGUAGUGAACAAUAACCACAUACUCUCCAAAAUGUUUGAUGUGUAUAACACAAUUGAAAUAAGUUCAAGAGAGAUAGUGGGAGUUUAGGGACCAUGACUAUUGUAGUCAAAGGAGAAGUCAAAUGAAGAAGAUAAAAAUAACUCCAAGGGAACAAACUUUCUUUAUGAAAGGAUGGACAUUGGAAGGGGUAUUUGCAAGAAAUGUCUUGCAAGUGUCAAGAACACACCUUUCGAAGGUGUUGUAAAUUGUUCUUGAAUAGUUCAAAACAGUUGGUUCUUCUACUUGAAUGCUUGAUUCCGUAUUAGUAACUAUGUUUUACAAUCGUUGUAAAAGUGUGACUAAUAAGAAGUAGAAGAUUAUAUGAGAGAAGAAAAGGUACUUCACAUUCGGAACGUGAAUAAAAUAUAGAGAUCUCUGCGAAAGCAGAUAGUACUUACUUCCUCAUAUGAACUACCAAAGAAAUUGGAAAAACCAAAGAUUGUCUUUACAUUCCAAUUUUAAGGAAUUUAAUUCCGUCACUAUAGUAGAGAUGGAUGAAUGUUUUGUUUGACAAAACAUUGUUCUUUAUUAAUCAAUGAUUGGAUUAUAGUAAUCUAAUUGAUUGUCUCUAUAGUAGAGAUGAUAUGGUAGUGUUAACUGUUUAGAAUAUAUAACGAUGCUUAAAACCCAAAAGGUUGCAAGGUAGUGACUAAUCCCAACUAAAGUUGUGAUACCUCUAAAAACAUAAAUUACGAGUUGGUCAAAGAUGGAUGCUUUGGAUCGUUAGAUCCGGAUCCAAUACCUUCUUGUUAAAAUUGUAUAGAGGCGAAAUGUUCGAAUCUUUAUUCUUUUGGAAAGAAGAAAGAAUCACAAAGUUGUUGAGGUUAAUUCACUUAGAUGUUAGUGGCACUUGUCCACAACAUAAUACUACUCAUGUUGGAUGACAUUCACCGAAGAUCACUCUCGGUUGGACUAUAGUUUAUUUUGAAUAAACACAAAUCCGAAUACUUUGCAAAAUGUUUCAAAGAAUUCAAGUAAUGUGAGUUGAUGAGUAAGACGUCUAAAGUAAUUACCUCCUUAGAUUUGAUCCAAGAUAAGGUAACACUUUAGAACAGUUUCCUUGAAAGAUAUCAAGGAAAUAAGCAUCAUAAGAUAAUAGAUUUCUCCAUUAGGAGAAGAACGAACUCGAAUAAGAUUUAGUUCGUUAGAUGUUAUCUAUUACCCAUAUAUAGGAUAUAUACUUCUAAAAACAAUAUGAUUGUCAAUUAGAAGAUCUUCCAAAUUUUUCAUGACUCCAUAAGAUGUAGUUGGAAAGAAAGACAAAUCUUAAGCAUGUUAAGAUUUGGGGUUGUGUGCUAAUAAGCAAUAUUUGUUUGAUAACAAUCUUGUGGGAUAUCCUUAAAUUAACUUUUGGAUAUCGCUUCUAUAAACCAACUAACAAAUGUUGUUUUGUUGGGUAGUUCAUUGUAAUCCUACAAUGUGAUUUGCCUAAGAGCAAAUGAACGAGAGAUAGAACUCAAAAAAUGGGUUCUUUGAGAGACAAGAAAGUAAUCAACAAAUAUAAACAACCUAGUUCCUAUACCACAAGCUCCAAAGUAGUCGAGAAGGAUUUAUAAACCGUCUCAGUUGAAUGGUUUGAACUUUAUGACUAUGUCAUAGAGUUUACACCUCUUAAUUCGAAAGAAAUAAGAAUGAAAAUCCUUAUGACUACAUUGAGUGUAUAUAUGAUAUAUACUCAAGGAAAUGGUAAAGUACCAUUUGACCCGAAAUAAUGAAAACCUUCAUAGCUAAUUGGUAGCUUAAGGUGACUACAAUCAAAGAGAAUGGUUGACUUUGAAGAAACCAUCUUUGACGUAGUCUUGUUUUUCAAUUAAUUCGAAGAUAGCUAGCUACAACUAAAUGGUGAUUCAAUGUUUGGACAUUAUAUGGGUUUCCGAAACCAUUAUUAAGAUAGUCUUGAUAAUAUAUAUGUCUAAAACUAUGAAUCACAAGACAUAUAAGUUGUAGAGAUCCAUUCAUCAUGAAUCUUAGCAAGCUAGUGGGAGCUAUAAGCAUCUUAUGAGAAAAGGAUCAAAUCGUUUGAUUUCUCAUAAAGAUGUAAAUGAAUCUUUUGUUUACUAGGUUUACAAAAGAUUAGUGGGAGUUAAUCAUGUUCCUAAAAUUUAAAUAUAUAUGAUAUAUUAAUUUUGGAAAUGAAAAGAAUACUUCUUUGUUAAAGUUAUGACUUUAAAACAUUAUAUGAAGAUAGAAUGUAUAUGGGAGUUAAUCAUGUUCCUAAAAUUUAAAUAUAUAUGAUAUAUUAAUUUUAGAAAUAAAAAGAAUACUUCUUCGUUAAAGUUAUGACUUUAAAACAUUAUAUGAAGAUAGAAUGUAUAUGGGAGACAUAGUCUAUAUACAUGGGAUGUAAAUUUAUAAUGAUAGAUUUUAGGAUAUAAUUGGAUUAUAUCAAUUCCUAAUAAUAGACAAUAGAUGAUAGGAAGUUUCUCAUAUGAUGAUAAACUUCAAUUAGAAGGACAACUCUAGUGAGACUAAGAAGUUGCUCUUCUCAAAGAGAACGUACUCUUUGACUCCCAAAGAAAUAAUGCGUAAAUAGAAUCCUUUAUGCAUACGCAGAAAGGGUGAUUUAUGUAUUUCAUAUUGUAUGAAAAACAUUGAUAUGAGUUGUACCUAGAACGGUACAAGACGAUAUCAGUGCAAGCCCAGGAUCAGAACCAUGGCAACUGUCAAGUGAGUCCUUAAGUAUUUAAGAAAUACUAAAGGAUAAAUUCCUCAAAGAUUGAGGAAGAAUUAGAGUAACAUAAUGGAAGCGUAAAUGUAUUAGAUUAUGAAUCUAAUCCAUCAUUGGAUGUUUCUUCAUUAUGAAUGAAGAGAUAAACGGAUAUCUCUUUAUUAUGACUAAAGAGAUAUUUGGAUGGAAACAUUAAAGUAAUGACUUUAGUGUGUUCCAUUAUGAAUGCAAAAUAUAUUGCCAUAUAGAAGCUUACAACAAUGUUGUUUGGAUGGGAAAGUUCAUUUAUGAACUCUCUAUUCGGUUCCAACCAGAAAGUGUAUCUAGUGUACUGACACUAUGACACUAAUGGGGCGAUAGCUCAAGCCAGAGAAUCAAGGUCUCAUCAAGGUCCGAAAUCAAAUGAGAGACUGAACCACAUGAUUGAGAAUCAUGUAUAAUGGUGACAUCGUUAUUCUCAAGGUUGUUUCUAUGGAUAACAUAUAGAUAUCCAUUGUCUAGGCCUACUACUCAGCCAUUUAUGAAAUGACUACAGAAGAGGUAUCAUAACUGAUGAUCAAGCUGAUUGGCUCUAGUGCAAGUGGGAGAUUGUUGGAAAUGUGCCCUAAAGCCAAUCAUAUGAUGAUACUUUACGGACAUUUCACAUGUUAAACUAAUCUAGUUUAAAUAUAAAGGGCAAAGAUUAUUGUUUGAGCCGUCUCAUAUAAAUGUUAUAUGCUUAAACGAUAAAGUCCAAGGAAUAUGUGAUUGGGAGAAUGCAAUCUAAAGAAGUUAGAUUCAUGAGACCAUUCUUUCGUAGACACAUCCUAAACGUUCCUGAUCAUAGGAUUGCCAAUUGGGCAUUGACAGUCCGUUAAGAUCAGUACGUGCUGUGUCUUCUCUCAGGGAGAGUGACUAGUCUCGAGUCAUUGGUGUGUGUGACAUCAAGACAAGUACGUAGGUGCUCAAUAGAGAAUGAGUUCACUGAACACGAUCAACGAAGAGUUCUCAUAUUCAUGUCACAUGAGAACUCAUGGUUGGGAUAAUGCAAAGUAGUCAUUUGACCUGAGGCAUCACAGCUGUCUUGUGGUUAAGUCCUUGAUCUUUGAUUAUGUCAAAGUCACCCCAUCCACGGAUGUCCACGGCAUCGUUGGGGUUAAGCCACUUAGCUAUGGAGGCAAGUGAAUGUGCAACAAGGGAUCUCUAACCUUCAAACCGUUUGAGGGAGAAUACUCUAUGAUAUGAUUUGGAAUCUCUGGCCAGAGUAUGAAUGAGAUUUAGGAAGUCGUUCCAAAUCACAUUCAAGGUAAUCAUAUAAGCACACGAAUUACAUUGGAUAGUAGACAUGAAUAAAUAAACUAUCAAACCAAACAAUGUGGUCAAGAGUAUUGUAUUAGAGAAAGACCGUAUUGCAUUUGUAAUCCUAAAUUGAAUAGGUUCUCCACCUCUUCUGAUUAGCUUGGGUAACCAUGAUAUGCUGCUAGGUGUCACUCAUGGUUUGUGGAAGCCCUAAACGUGUAUAAUCACUAAAGGGAGAAUUGACAGUAAGUUUCAAUUCACAAUCGAUGUGAAAUGGUUUUAAUCGCCCACUGCCUCGCUAAAAGGAACCUAAUGGAUCGUACACCGUAUAAGGUGAAGAUUGAAGAAACAAUGGAGAUGAGUAAAAAUAAUUAAAUGGUUUAAUUAUUUAUGGCAAUGAUUAAUUAAUAUGUUAAUUAAUCAAACGAAUAAAGUUCGUUAAAAGACCACGGGUUAGUUUUGGGCCUCAAGGCCCAAUGGGCUUUGAACGUCAAGCCCAUUGACUUAAGUUGUAUGACAACUUAAUUCACAAAGGCCCAAAAGCCCAAUAAAACCCUUAUGGCCGGCCAUGUUAGAGAGAUGGCCUUUUGGUUCUUUAGGUCACUUAUUUGAAGUGACUAUAUAAAGGACUUUAUAGCCUUAAUUCAAAAAGGGCUUCUUUUGGAGAAAAUUGGUGAGAACUUGUCUCUCCUUUUCUCUCUAGGAGGCCGGCCCCCCUUGGAGGGUGCAUCUAGCAAUCCCACUACUCCAAGGUCACUCAUUUCUUCUCCAAUCUCUCUUUGGUGUGGAGACUUAGAGGUUCUCAAUUUUGGGAACUUGGAGAAACUCUUUCAUCCAUCCAAAUCCAUAGAUUUUAGAUGCAAGGAAUGAAGGCCCUCUCUUUGGGUGAUUAGCCUUUGCUUAUGCAAAGAGGAAUCUACAAAGGUAAAUUUCUACUCACUUUGAUUUUGAGUUGAGUUUUGGUUCACCAAUCUACUAGGCUUUGAAUUUCAUGGUUAAUGUUUUGUUUUUGAAUGUAUGCAAGCAUGAUUCUGCCUUUUAAUUGUUAAAUGCAUGCUAUAGAUGUUAUUCAAAUGAACAUGUUUUCACAAAAUCAUCCUUCACUGCAUUCUCCUCUCUUUCAAGGUAUUAGAAGAAAAUGGGAAGAGAAAAGGUUUCGGAUUUGUUCAGUUUGGUAAAGAGGACUCAGAUAUGGCAGCUGCUAGUGCUCUCAAUGAUACAAUCAGUAAAGGGAAGAACUUGUAUGUAUCGAUAUUUGUUCAGAAAAGUAAGAAUGAUAACAGACUCAUAUCUUUUCCAACACUCUGAACCCUACAUUGUCUCAGGAAGUGGUCUGCUACAAGGUCUGGAACUUGCUACAAAUAUUACAGAAGCAUGUAACAAUUGUGUUUUUGGUCAAAUUGUGCUCUUGCUAGUGCAAAUUGUUACAACCAUGAUCAGGCUCUUGGAAGAAUAUGCUAACUUGAAAGGGCUUCAAGAUGGACAUUUUAGACAAGAAGAGGAAGUGUUUGCAAUACUCAGCCAUAAACACAGAAAUGAUCCUCUCAAAAUCAAGGAAAUCAUUUCAAUGGUUGCCAACAGUUUAACAAGUCUCCUAAAUUUAGAGAUUAAGUUCAAGAUUUUUUUGCAAGAGGAUGGAAUAACUAUUGCUUCAAUCUUAUUUUUCUUGGUUUAUGGAAUGCAUUUCAAUGAGCAAUGGAAAUCUCGGACAACACCAUAUGUGACUGUACCUGAGCAGCAUUGUGUAAGUCAUCAUGUUUUCUCUUAUGUGAUUGGUAAAAGAUGGAUUUUGGUAGAGCUGGAGUUGCAUCAUAAGAAAACCGGAAAAUGUAUUCGGAUGCUCACUUUUGGUAGUGAAGAGAUUUGUCUUACCGUGAGUGUAAGUUGGCAAAAUGAGCUGUUUAAAUUUUUGGAACUUGAUACUACUCAUCCACCUUUGAUAGGAUUAAAAGCACACCAUAAAGUAGCACACAAAUGUCCUAUUGAUUUUCCUUAUUAACAAUAAGAUUUGUCAAUUGUAGCAUAUGAAAAUAAGGAUCUUUCCCGCAGAAGAUUAUUUUAUCUAACUACUUAAAAUGUCACAAAAACUGGUUGUUGUCCCUACUGACCAGCCACCGAAAAAUAAUUAUUAAACCGACUUACACUUAUCUAAAUUCUACGAAAUUUUAUAUGCAGAUACUAGACACAAAGAGAUACACUCACACAAAUUUUGGGGAUUUUUGGAGUUGAUUUUCUAUUUAAAUUAAAUCGAACAAAAACAGGACAGAAAUAGAUAUUAAGUAGUUCACAAAUUAAGAAAAACGAGUUAGGGGUAUUGCUAUCCACCACCAAAUAAUCAUGCAAACAUGUUAUGUUUCAUUCAAAUUUCUUUUAUUUCCUGAUGAAGAUGCUCAAGUUGGCUCAAUGUUAGAACUCAACCUAUUACUCUUUCUUACGUAGUAUGUUAAGAGAAUGGUGUUUUCAACUUAACUUAGUUCCUAGCAUGCAAUCUAGAAUGGCGUGUUCAUAGAUUUAACAAGAAGAAAUCAUUAAGAACGAAAAGAGUUUGAGUCAUCACAAGGCAUCGUAAGUACUAGCGUUGUCUUACUUAUCCUAGAAAUUGGUUCACAUGUUAAUCGCAAUUAACAAGUACUACUCUAGAAUAUAUGUAGGCCCUCAUUCGACAAGGGCAGGCACACACAUAUUCAUAGCAUUAGAAUCCUAGAUAUGCUUACUACGUAUGCAUUCAUAGAAAACAAAUAAAGAAUUCAUCAAUGAGACAAGUAGUAAACCAAUUUUCAUCCAUUCAUAAAAGUAAUUCAAACGAAAUGUCAUAACAAACUUGCAAUCAUAUUCGGGGCUUCAAAACAGCCCCUAACUUCUAAAAAUUUAGUUGCACACAAUUCUUAAGUUAAAACAAAAGAUAGACAUGAGUUUGAGAAGAUAGAACCGAAAGAAAUCGACUAAGGCCUCCUCCUCCUUUCCCUCCUUCCCCAACGCUGCUUUUAAACCAAUUCUUGCUGCAUCAUUUUCUUCUCCUUAACUCACCCACUAAUAGCCAUUUAGUGAUGACAAUAAGUGAGAGGAAAUGUGGUAAAACAAUUGUAACUCUUUAGGUAGCCUUUAUGCCAAUUACUCCCUCUUAAUUCUCAUCCUUAUUUCCAUUCCCUUUUAUAUUUGAAUAAGUUUCAGCUGACUUGUUCUUGGCUGCAUUAGUUUUGGCUGCUAGAUUUAUUGGGUUUAUUGCUUCCAUUGCAGUUACAAACUGCUCAGCCUCUUAGGAACCUUUCAGUGUUAAAACGGCCAUAACUUCUUCUAGAAAAAUGAUAUUAAUAAUCCGCGAAAUUCUCCAGAAAAUAGACAUCCGUAGUGUUCCAAGAAUAUAAGCCUCAUUCUCUAAUUCAUUCUGAGCUAUUCGUAACUUGCUUCCAAAGUCAGCUGAUCUGCAUAGGCAGUUUUGACGAAUUUGUUACUAAAAAUCCUACUUGUGCUAUUUUUCUUUUAUUUGCUUGACAAAUCCCACAAAACACAAAAACAAAGUAAAUAGCUCAAAAAUAUAAGGAACUAACUAAGAAAAGACAAGUGAAUUUGAUGUAAAUAUAUAUAAAUAUGAGCUUAUCAACCUUAUGUAUUCAAAUGCCAACUAUACACCUUAACAAAGGUGAUGAAGGACAUGGUUGAAGCUUUGGGUUUGCUUAGGUCCUCUAAAUCUUCCAUGUAUAAUAUCGGUGUUGCUUAUGACGUUUUAAAGUUCAAUGAUUUCAAUGAUUCAAAAGAAUGGCAGUUUUCAAUAUCCUAUAUAGGCUGGUCCCAUCCAUUAGCUUAUUUCAGAAAAUGGAGUUUUAUGACAAUCAGACAUUAGGUGGUCCCGGUAUCACUGAAAAAGGCUAUGAGAUGUGCUUCCUCGAGGGGAAGAUGAUUGAGAAAGACAUCACUCCCAUGGUGGCUUCCCUCACUGUGGUGUGGUGAAGGAUGGCUACAUUCGGAGCAAUGAAUGGUGUGUUGGACCUAAGAAGAGGAUAGUUAUGUUGGAAAUGUGCCCUAAAGCCAAUCAUAUGAUGAUACUUUACGGACAUUUUACAUGUUAAACUAAUCUAGUUUAACUAUAAAGGGCAAAGAUUAUUGUUUGAGCCGCUCAUAUAAAUGUUAUAUGCUUAAACGAUAAAGUCCAAGGAAUAUGUGAUUGGAAGAAUGUAAUCUAAUGAAGUUAGAUUCAUGAGACCAUUCUUUCGUAGACACAUCCUAAAUGUUCCUGAUCAUAGGAUUGCCAAUUGGGCAUUGACAGUCCGUCAAGAUCGGUACGUGCUAUGUCUUCUCUCAGGGAGAGUGACUAGUCUCGAGUCAUUGGUGUGUGUGACAUCAAGACAAGUACGUAGGUGCUCAGUAGAGAAUGAGUUCACUGAACGCGAUCAACGAAGAGUUCUCAUACUCAUGUCACAUGAGAACUCAUGGUUGGGAUAAUGCAAAGUAGUCCUUUGACCUGAGGCAUCACAGUUGUCUUGUGGUUAAGUCCUUGAUCUUUGAUUAUGUCAAACGUCAUUCCAUUGGAGUGUCCACGGCAUCGUUGGGGUUAAGCCACUUAGCCAUGGAGGUAAGUGAAUGUGCAACAAGGGAUCUCUAACCUUCAAACCGUUUGAGGGAGAAUACUCUAUGAUAUGAUUUAGAAUCUCUGGCUAGAGUAUGAAUGAGAUUUAGAAAAGUCGUUCUAAAUCACAUUCAAGGAAAUCAUAUAAGCACACGAAUCACAUUGGAUAGUAUACAUGAAUAAAUAAACUAUCAAACCAAACAAUGUGGUCAGGAGUAUUAGAUUAGAGAAAGAUCGUAUUGCAUUUGUAAUCCCAAACUGAAUAGGUUUUCUCUACCUCUUCUGAUUAGCUUGGGUAACCAUGAUAUGCUGCAAGGUGUCACUCAUGGUUUGUGGAAGCCCUAAACGUGUGUAAUCACUAAAGGGAGAAUUGAAAUUAAGUUUCAAUUCACAAUCGAUGUAAAAUGGUUUUAAUCGCCCACUGCCUCGCUAAAAGGAACCUAAUGGAUCGCACACCGUGUAAGGAGGAGAUUGAAGAAACAAUGGAGAUGAGUAAGAAUGAUUAAAUGGUUUAAUCAUUUAUUUAUGGCAAGGAUUAAUUAAUAUGUUAAUUAAUCAAACGAAUAAGUUCGUUAAAGCCCUCGGGAUAGUUUUGGACCUUAAGGCCCAAUGGGCUUCGAACGUCAAGCCCAUUAACUUAAGUUGUAUGACAACUUAAUGAAUAAUGAUUCACAAAGGCCCAAUUAGUCCAAAAUAUCCUAAUGGCCGGCCAUAUUGUUUAGGGUAGUGAACUUGGACUUAUUUACAAGUUUGCCACUCAAAUGAAUAAAGGUAUAAAUAUGACUUUAUAGCCAAAAUUCAUUAAGGGUUUGUUUUGGAGAAAAUUGGUGAGAACUUGUCUCUCCAUUUCUCUCUAAAGAGGCCGGCCACCUUGGGGGGUGCAUCUUGCAAUCCCACUACUCCAAGGUCACUCAUUUCUUCUCCAAUCUCUCCUUGGUGAAGAGACUUAGAGGUUCUCAAUUUUGGGAACUUGGAAAAACCUAUUCUUCCAUCCAAAUCCAUAGAUUUAAGAUGCAAGGAAUGAAGGCCCUCUCUUUGGGUGAUUAGCCUUUGCUUAUGCAAAGAGGAAUCUACAAAGGUAUAAAUUUCAACUCACUUUGUUUUGAGUUGAGUUUUGGUUCACCAAUCUACUAGGCUUUGAAUUUCUUGGUUAAUGUUUUGUUUUUAAGUGCAUGCUAGCAUGAUUCCGCCUUUAAUUGUUAAUUGCAUGCUUAUUGAUGUUGCUUAAAUGAACAUGUUUUCACAAAAUAUUCCUUCAAGUGGUAUCAGAGCCUAGGUCUAGUAGUUGGUGAAUCCUUUUGGGUUUUGUAGUUCAUAGUUUAUGAUUUAAAAGUUGUAAUUGUUACAAGCUUUAUUCUUGUUUCUUUGAAUGUAAAUUUUGUUAGAAAAUUUGCCAUCUCAAAUGUUGUAGAUGUAGUUCAUAUGAGCAUGAAUAUUGAAGCUAAAAUUUGGUGCCAUGCUUUUGGGAAAAUUCGGCCAAAUCCAAAGGGUGGAUUUUUGGGUUCUUGUUUGACUUGUUAAAAGUGUUUUCAAGUGACUUUUGGAACCCCUAUGUACCCUAGUUUGGUUAGAUGUUAUUUCCCUAAAGUUUGAAUGGUUUUGGAAUGUUUUUGGGUGAAAAAUGUUCAUGGAAAAUUUUGGGUUUUUUCAUGAGUGUUCUUCAUUGUUCUUGACAUUUUUGCCAAGAACAAAAGGGUUUGUGUUUUGAUUCAAAAUUUUGAUUUAUUUCAUAAAGUUUAUGUUUUAUGUUUUUCAAAUGAUUUAUUGCAUAAGAUAUUUAUUUGAAUGGUGAUGGAAAUGGUGAUGGGUGUGUAAGGAUUAAUUCCCUUUCACACACACCACUUGCACCACUUGUUGCUUUAUGUCUAAAACUCACAAAUCAACACACACAUCACUCUAU
rnacentral:lncRNA from 1 species